rnacentral:rRNA from 1 species
GACGAACGCUGGCGGCGUGCUUAACACAUGCAAGUCGAACGGUGAACCUCUUCGGAGGGGAUCAGUGGCGAACGGGUGAGUAACACGUGGGCAACCUGCCCCCGGCUCUGGGAUAACUCCAAGAAAUUGGGGCUAAUACCGGAUGUUCACCGCUUCCCGCAUGGGUGGUGGUGGAAAGGGUUUCCGGCUGGGGAUGGGCCCGCGGCCUAUCAGCUUGUUGGUGGGGUAGUGGCCUACCAAGGCGACGACGGGUAGCCGGCCUGAGAGGGUGACCGGCCACACUGGGACUGAGACACGGCCCAGACUCCCACGGGAGGCAGCGGUGGGAAUAUUGCGCAAUGGGCGGAAGCCUGACGCAGCGACGCCGCGUGGGGGAUGACGGCCUUCGGGUUGUAAACCUCUUUCAGCAGGGACGAAGCGCAAGUGACGGUACCUGCAGAAGAAGCACCGGCCAACUACGUG